rnacentral:rRNA from 1 species
CAAACUUGAGAGUUUGAUCCUGGCUCAGAACGAACGCUGGCGGCAUGCCUAACACAUGCAAGUCGAACGAGACCUUCGGGUCUAGUGGCGCA